rnacentral:piRNA from 1 species
CAUUGUAGUGCAGGGGGCAAGAAC